GAUGAACGCUGGCGGCGUGCCUAAUACAUGCCAGUAGAACGCUGAAGGAAGGAGCUUGCUCUUUCCGGAUGAGUUGCGAACGGGUGAGUAACGCGUAGGUAACCUGCCUGGUAGCGGGGGAUAACUAUUGGAAACGAUAGCUAAUACCGCAUAACAGUAGAUAUUGCAUGAUAUCUGCUUGAAAGGGGCAAUUGCUCCACUACCAGAUGGACCUGCGUUGUAUUAGCUAGUUGGUGAGGUAACGGCUCACCAAGGCGACGAUACAUAGCCGACCUGAGAGGGUGAUCGGCCACACUGGGACUGAGACACGGCCCAGACUCCUACGGGAGGCAGCAGUAGGGAAUCUUCGGCAAUGGACGGAAGUCUGACCGAGCAACGCCGCGUGAGUGAAGAAGGGUUUCGGAUCGUAAAGAUCUGUUGUAAGAGAAGAACGAGUGUGAGAGUGGAAAGUUCACACUGUGACGGUAUCUUACCAGAAAGGGACGGCUAACUACGUG
rnacentral:rRNA from 1 species